rnacentral:lncRNA from 1 species
GCCAGAUCGCCUCGGAUAGGGACCUGGGUUCCAGCGGAGAUGGUAGAAGGCGGGGGCGAGGCUCCAUGUUGGCCGGGAGCCUGGCUUCGCCCUUUGCCCCACGGCCCUCCCAGGCCACUGCCCCAUGGAGAAGCAGAGUCCGUCCUUCCACCCUGUGAAUCUGGCCUGACUUGUGAACACACUGACAGAGAAUAUGGCAGAAAGGAUACUGUGCCAGUUCUGUGUUUCCCCUUCAAGGGAACUGCAGUUUCUCUCUGCUCCAGGGGUCCUGAGCUACAGUUGAAGAAGCCUGGGCUAUGCUGCAGGAGAGAGAGGCCACGUGGAGGAGCUGAGCCGCCAUCUUGGAUGCCCAGCCCAGGGAGCUUCCAGACGAUUCCAGUCCCGGCCACCAUCUGAUUGUAACUGUACCAGAGGCCCCCCAAGGAAGGACCAGCCGGUGAACCCAGACAGCUCAUAGAACCCUAAGGGAAUAAAAUCAGUUAUUCUUUUAAGCACUAGGUUUUGGGUAGUUUGUUUAUACAGUCAUUGAUUUCAGGAACAGUCUGAAAGAUUCACCCCUUUCUCCGUCCUCAUUUGCUGGCUACUUGGGGCAAACAAGGACCUCAAGCUCCGAAGUCCACAGCUGCUCAGAUGGAGACCCCAGUGGUCCCCCCAGUAACCAGGCCCUGGUUAUGGGGCCGAGUUACUGGGUGGCACUCCUCCUUCUGGGAUUGGUAGGAAGCCUUUAGAUUAAAUCAGCAGAUAUUUGUAAAGCAGGUAGAAUGUCCAUGGCACUUCGGGAACUCAAAGAGACCCAUAAUACCUUCUAUUUGAAGAGCAUUAAAUGGCUUACCAAGCUCUUACUACACAUAACCUCAUUUCACCCACCACAGCCAUGGCAGGCAGCAGGGCAGGCAUCACACCUUUUGUUACAGAACAGGAAACUACAUUGAGGCCACACAAGUAGGAAUGGCAGAGCCAGGGCUGGAGGCCAAGUCA